GACGAACGCUGGCGGCGUGCUUAACACAUGCAAGUCGAGCGGUAAGGCCCUUUCGGGGGUACGACGAGCGGCGAACGGGUGAGUAACACGUGGGUGACCUGCCUUUAGCUCUGGGAUAAGCCUGGGAAACCGGGUCUAAUACCGGAUAUGACUCCGCGGCGCAUGUUGUGGGGUGGAAAGCCUUGUGCGGCUGGAGAUGGGCCCGCGGCCUAUCAGCUUGUUGGUGGGGUGAUGGCCUACCAAGGCGACGACGGUAGCCGGCCUGAGAGGGCGACCGGCCACACUGGGACUGAGACACGGCCCAGACUCCUACGGGAGGCAGCAGUGGGGAAUCUUGCGCAAUGGGCGAAAGCCUGACGCAGCGACGCCGCGUGAGGGAUGACGG
rnacentral:rRNA from 1 species